rnacentral:misc_RNA from 1 species
GAUGAAGAACGUAGCGAAAUGCGAUAAGUAAUGUGAAUUGCAGAAUUCAGUGAAUCAUCGAAUCUUUGAACGCACCUUGCGCCCUUUGGCCAUUCCGAAGGGCAUGCCUGUUUAAGUAUCAUGAACACCUCAACUCUUUAUGGUUUUCCAUGAUGAGCUUGGACUCUGGGGGUUUUGCUGGCUCACAGUCGGCUCCUCUAAAAUGAAUCAGCUUACCAGUGUUUGGUGGGUAUCAUGGGUGUGAUAACUAUCUACGCUUGUGGUUUUUCCACCAGGUAACCUUCAGCAGUGGAGGUUCGCUGGAGCUCAUAGAUGUCUCUCCUCAGUGAGGACAGCCCUUUGAAUGUUUGAUCUCAAAUCAGGUAGGACUACCCGCUGAACUUAAGCAUAUCAAUAAGCGGAGGA